GGAAAUGGGUGAGUAACUGGUGUUCUCAGCAGUCUUCAAAACUGACUUGGCGGCUCUGGCCGUCGGUAGGUUCGAUUCCUACACGUUUCC
rnacentral:tRNA from 1 species